rnacentral:pre_miRNA from 1 species
AAAAAGACAAACCCUGAUUUCCGUGCCCAACGUUUGACCGUCCGUUUUAUUUGAAAAAAUUAUGAAAAAAAAUUAAAAAAACAAGUCACGCAUAAAAUAUUAAUCAUGUUUUAUCAUCUAACAACAAUGAAAAUACGAAUUAUAAAAAAAAUUUAUAUAAGACAGACAGUCAAAGUUGGACACGGAAAUCCAUGGUUUGUCUUUUU